AGUGAACGCUGGCGGUAGGCCUAACACAUGCAAGUUGAACGGCAGCACAGUAAGAGCUUGCUCUUACGGGUGGCGAGUGGCGGACGGGUGAGGAAUACAUCGGAAUCUACUUUUUCGUGGGGGAUAACGUAGGGAAACUUACGCUAAUACCGCAUACGACCUACGGGUGAAGGCAGGGGAUCUUCGGACCUUGCGCGAUUGAAUGAGCCGAUGUCGGAUUAGCUAGUUGGCGGGGUAAAGGCCCACCAAGGCGACGAUCCGUAGCUGGUCUGAGAGGAUGAUCAGCCACACUGGAACUGAGACACGGUCCAGACUCCUACGGGAGGCAGCAGUGGGGAAUAUUGGACAAUGGGCGCAAGCCUGAUCCAGCCAUACCGCGUGGGUGAAGAAGGCCUUCGGGUUGUAAAGCCCUUUUGUUGGGAAAGAAAAGCAGCAGGUUAAUACCCCGCUGUUCUGACGGUACCCAAAGAAUAAGCACCGGCUAACUUCGUG
rnacentral:rRNA from 1 species